GUAUGGGAUUAAAGUCACCUACGUGUAGGUGUUUGCAGUUACCAUACGAAUAAGCAUCGGCUAACUCCGUGCCAGCAGCCGCGGUAAUACGGAGGAUGCGAGCGUUAUCCGGAAUUAUUGGGUUUAAAGGGUGCGUAGGUUGCAAGGGAAGUCAGGGGUGAAAAGCUGUAGCUCAACUAUGGUCUUGCCUUUGAAACUCUCUAGCUAGAGUGUACUGGAGGUACGUGGAACGUGUGGUGUAGCGGUGAAAUGCAUAGAUAUCACACAGAACUCCGAUUGCGCAGGCAGCGUACUACAUUAC
rnacentral:rRNA from 1 species